AUGGGGGUUCGCAGCCGCCGCCGUCGCAAGAAUGGUCGGAGGGACGCGUCGCCGGCGGCCACGCACCGCCUUCCCGACGAGCUGAUCGAGUUAGUAUUCCUGCGCCUCCCUUCCUCUCUCCAACUCGUCCGUGCCGCUUGCACCUGCAAGCAGUGGCGCCGCGUCGUCGCCGACGGCGGCUUCCUCCGCCGAUUCUGUUCUCUCCACCCGCACGCCCCCGUCGUCGGACGCUACCGCGUCGAAGAUCGCACGUAUGCGUUUCCGCGUCCACCUGGCUGCAACCCCGUCUUCUUCCCCUCGUCGCCCUCGCCACCGGCGGACGCCUUAGACGCGCGGCACUUCUCGCUCGAUUUCCUCACGGACGGCGCUGGUGCAGACUGGGAGCUCGCCGACAGUCGGAACUUCCAUUGUUGA
rnacentral:rRNA from 1 species